rnacentral:rRNA from 1 species
AACGUAGGAGACGAAACGUUAUCCGGAGUUACUGGGCGUAAAGGGCGUGUAGGUGGUAGUGUAAGUCUGGCGUGAAAUUUUUCGGCUUAACCGGGAAAGGUCGUCGGAUACUGGCACAACUAGAGGACGGUAGAGGCGUGUGGAAUUCCGGGUGGUAGUGGUGAAAUGCGUAGAGAUCCGGAGGAACACCAGUGGCGAAGGCGACACGCUGGGCCGUACCUGACACUGAUGCGCGACAGCAUGGGGAGC